rnacentral:lncRNA from 1 species
AAAGAGUGUGCUGGGAACUGGAACACAGACCUGAGCCGGUGCACACACUCUGCAUGCAACACACUACAAAGCAUUCACUGAAUGGGCACAAUCCUAUGGCUCGCGACGGCUACACGGAGUUUGUGGUAAUCACAGCAACAAUGAAAGACAAACUAAAACGGAGCUGAUGAUGUUAAGACUAGAGAUGGAUCUAUAUUGGGGAAUACGGGAGACUUGGGGAGCAAUUUCAAAAACAUCUUAAAGACUCCCACUGAACAGCCAUCCUAAAACAAAUAAAGUCAGCUAGUAUUUACUGGAAAAUAUGUUCAUAUAAAGACAGACCAAAUGCAUUCUGGGCAGUAAAUACAUAUUUAUCACUGAUUUUUAACUCCUGUUUUUACAUAUUUUGUUUAAUCUUCACAACCCCGAGAGAUAGGAACCAUCAUCUUUCUUCAUCAUCAUACUUUACCGAGAAUCAGAAAUUAAGCGAUUCAGAUGUAAUUAAAAAUCACUUUCCUUUCUCAUAAAACAAUUCAAGUAGUCAUCAAUGGUGUCAAUAACCCAGAACUUGACUCAUUAAGGGUUGCUGUGAGCAUUUUCAUGAUUAAGUUCAAUCUGCCAUUUAAGCAGGCUGGUGCCUUUUUACCAAGACUUCCAUCCCACCUCCCCAUCACCCCCAAAAAGGUGAGUUUAAUCACUUUGGUACAUACUACAAGAACUGCACAACUUAUUCUGAAUUAUUAUUUGAUAACUAGGAAAGUAACAAACUUGUCAUAAUACCCUUAAAUGAAGUGACUAUUCUCUUUAAGUUAAAGUUUCAUACUAUGGCUGAGCGGCUAAUAAAAUAUUUAAAUGAUGCCAAUCUAAGGCUAGGCGUGGUGGCUCACACCUGUAAUCCCAGCACUUUGGGAGGCCAAGGCGGGCGGAUCACAAGGUCAAGAAAUCGAGACCAUCCUGGCUAACACGGUGAAACCUCGUCUCUACUAAAAAUACAAAAAAUUAGCUGGGCAUGGUGGUGGGCGCCUGUAGUCCCAGCUACUCGGGAGGCUGAGGCAGGAGAAUGGUGUGAACCCGGGAGGCGGAGCUUGCAGUGAGCUGAGAUCGCGCCACUGCACUCCAGCCUGGGCGACAGAGCAAGACUCUGUCUCAAAA